rnacentral:rRNA from 1 species
CCUACGGGUGGCAGCAGUGGGGAAUAUUGCGCAAUGGGCGAAAGCCUGACGCAGCGACGCCGCGUGAGGGAAGACUGCCCUCUGGGUUGUAAACCUCUUUUAUAAGGGAAGAAUAAUGACUACGUGUAGUCAGAUGCCCGUACCUUAUGAAUAAGCAUCGGCUAACUCCGUUCCAGCCGCCGCGGUAAUGCGGGGGAUGCGAGCGUUGUCCGGAUUUAUUGGGGUUAACGGGUGCGUAGGCGGUAUUUUAAGUUAGUGGUAAAACGUCGGGGCUUCACCUUGAUUGGCAAUUAAAACUGGAGUACUAGAGUACAGACGAGGUAGGCAGAAUAAGUGAAGUAGCGGUGAAAUGCGUAGAGAUAACUUAGAACCCCGAUAGCGAAGGCAGCUUACCAGACUGUUACUGACGCUGAAGUACGAGAGCGUGGGUAGCGAACAGGAUUAGAUACCCCAGUAGUC